CGCGAAUGGCUCAUUACAACAGCCAUAAUUUACUUGAUGUUGAUAUUCCACGUGGAUAACUGUGGUAAUUCUAGAGCUAAUACAUGCACCAAAGCUCCGAUCUCAUGACGAGCGCAUCUAUUAGACCAAAAACCAAUCGAGAAUAUUCGCCUCAAAACGAAUGCCUCGUAAAUUUGGUGACUCUGAAUAGCUUAGCUGAUCGCAUGGUCUCGCACCGGCGACGUAUCUAUCAAGUGUCUGCCUUAUCAACUUUCGAUGGUAGUUUAUAUGCCUACCAUGGUUGUAACGGGUAACGGAGAAUAAGGGUUCGACUCCGGAGAGGGAGCCUGAGAAACGGCUACCACAUCCAAGGAAGGCAGCAGGCGCGCAAAUUACCCACUCUCAGCACGAGGAGGUAGUGACGAAAAAUAACGAGACCGUUCUCUUCGAGGCCGGUUAUCGGAAUGAGUACAAUUUAAAGCCGUUAACGAGGAUCUAUGAGAGGGCAAGUCUGGUGCCAGCAGCCGCGGUAAUUCCAGCUCUCAAAGUGUAUAUCGUCAUUGCUGCGGUUAAAAAGCUCGUAGUUGGAUUUAAGCUCGAUGACUCGGUCCAUCCAUAGGAUGAGAACUGAGCUCAUCGGCUAUCAUCGGCUGGUUUUGUCUAGGUGGCUUUAAACGGUUGCCUAGGCUGGCUAGCAAGUUUACUUUGAAAAAAUUAGAGUGCUCAACGCGGGCUUAAUGCCUGAAUAGUCGUGCAUGGAAUAAUGGAAUAGGAUUUCGGUUCUAUUUUGUUGGUUUUUUUAACCGAAAUAAUGGUUAAGAGGGACAGACGGGGGCAUUCGUAUCGCUACGUGAGAGGUGAAAUUCUUGGACCGUAGCGAGACGCCCGACUGCGAAAGCAUUUGCCAAGAAUGUCUUCAUUAAUCAAGAACGAAAGUCAGAGGUUCGAAGGCGAUCAGAUACCGCCAAAC
rnacentral:rRNA from 1 species